rnacentral:rRNA from 1 species
UGAACGCUGGCGGCGUGCCUAAUACAUGCAAGUCGAGCGAACAGAUGAGGAGCUUGCUCCUCUGACGUUAGCGGCGGACGGGUGAGUAACACGUGGAUAACCUACCUAUAAGACUGGGAUAACUUCGGGAAACCGGAGCUAAUACCGGAUAAUAUAUUGAACCGCAUGGUUCAAUAGUGAAAGACGGUUUUGCUGUCACUUAUUGAUGGAUCCGCGCCGCAUUAGCUAGUUGGUAAGGUAACGGCUUACCAAGGCAACGAUGCGUAGCCGACCUGAGAGGGUGAUCGGCCACACUGGAACUGGGACACGGUCCAGACUCCUACGGGAGGCAGCAGUAGGGAAUCUUCCGCAAUGGGCGAAAGCCUGACGGAGCAACGCCGCGUGAGUGAUGAAGGUCUUCGGAUCGUAAAACUCUGUUAUUAGGGAAGAACAAAUGUGUAAGUAACUAUGCACGUCUUGACGGUACCUAAUCAGAAAGCCACGGCUAACUACGUG